UGCGUAGGGUGCGAGCGUUGUCCGGAAUUAUUGGGCGUAAAGGGCUCGUAGGCGGUCUGUCACGUCGGGAGUGAAAACACGGGGCUUAACCCCGUGCCUGCUUCCGAUACGGGCAGACUGGAGGUAUGCAGGGGAGAACGGAAGUUCCUGGUGUAGCGGUGAAAUGCGCAGAUAUCAGGAGGAACACCGGUGGCGAAGGCGGUUCUCUGGGCAUUACCUGACGCUGAGGAGCGAAAGUGUGGGAGCGAACAGG
rnacentral:rRNA from 1 species